rnacentral:rRNA from 1 species
UACAGAGGUCUCGAGCGUUUGUUCGGAUUCAUUGAGCGUAAAGGGCGCGUAGGCGGCGGGGUAAGUCUGGUGUGAAAUCUCGGAGCUCAACUCCGAAAUUGCACUGGAUACUGCUCUGCUAGAGGGCUGGAGAGGAGAAUCGGAAUUCACGGUGUAGCAGUGAAAUGCGUAGAUAUCGUGAGGAAGACCAGUGGCGAAGGCGGAUCUCUGGACAGCUCCUGGACGCGAGGCGCGAAGGCUAGGGGAGCAAACGGG